rnacentral:siRNA from 1 species
GCUCCCAUGUCCCACCCCGAGCC